AGAGUUUGAUCCUGGCUCAGAACGAACGCUGGCGGCGUGCUUAACACAUGCAAGUCGAGUGCGCGCCUGUAGCAAUACAGGUGGCGCACGGCGCACGGGUGCGUAACACGUGGGUAAUCUGCCCUCUGAUGGGGAAUAACUCGCCGAAAGGCGAGCUAAUUCCGCAUAAUAUUCCGAGAACCUCGGUUUUUGGACUGAAAGGCGUAAGUCGUCGGAGGAGGAGCCCGCGCACGAUUAGCUAGUUGGUAGGGUAAUGGCCUACCAAGGCUUUGAUCGUUAGCUGGUCUGAGAGGAUGGCCAGCCACACUGGAACUGAGACACGGUCCAGACUCCUACGGGAGGCAGCAGUGGGGAAUCUUGCACAAUGGGCGAAAGCCUGAUGCAGCGACGCCGCGUGGGGGAUGAAGCUUCUCGGAGUGUAAACCCCUUUCGAUCCGGACGAAUGCCCGCAAGGGAUUGACGGUACGGAUAUAAGAAGCCCCGGCUAACUACGUGCCAGCAGCCGCGGUAAUACGUAGGGGGCCAGCGUUGUUCGGAAUUACUGGGUGUAAAGGGUUCGUGGCGGUGCGGCAAGUUGGGAGUGAAAUCUCUGGGCUCAACCCANAGACGGCUUCCAAAACUGCUGUGCUUGAGUGUGA
rnacentral:rRNA from 1 species